rnacentral:rRNA from 1 species
AGAGUUUGAUCCUGGCUCAGGAUGAACGCUAGCGGCAGGCCUAACACAUGCAAGUCGAACGGUAACAGGAAAAAGCUUGCUUUUUUGCUGACGAGUGGCGCACGGGUGCGUAACGCGUAUACAAUCUACCUUUUACAGUGGGAUAGCCUUUAGAAAUGAAGAUUAAUACCGCAUAGUAUGUUUAGAUGGCAUCAUUUAGACAUUAAAGAUUUAUCGGUAAAAGAUGAGUAUGCGUUCUAUUAGCUAGAUGGUAAGGUAACGGCUUACCAUGGCAACGAUAGAUAGGGGCCCUGAGAGGGGGAUCCCCCACACUGGUACUGAGACACGGACCAGACUCCUACGGGAGGCAGCAGUGAGGAAUAUUGGACAAUGGGCGCAAGCCUGAUCCAGCCAUGCCGCGUGCAGGAAGACUGCCCUAUGGGUUGUAAACUGCUUUUAUACAGGAAGAAACACUCCCUCGUGAGGGAGCUUGACGGUACUGUAAGAAUAAGAUCGCUAACU